GACGAACGCUGGCGGCGUGCCUAAUACAGGCAAGUCGAGCGGAUGAAAGAGGAGCUUGCUCCUCUAGAUUCAGCGGCGGACGGGUGAGUAACACGUGGGCAACCUGCCCUGUAGAUUGGGAUAACUCCGGGAAACCGGGGCUAAUACCGAAUAAUCCUUCGGACCUCAUGGUCCGAUGUUGAAAGACGGUUUCGGCUGUCACUACAGGAUGGGCCCGCGGCGCAUUAGCUAGUUGGUGAGGUAACGGCUCACCAAGGCCACGAUGCGUAGCCGACCUGAGAGGGUGAUCGGCCACACUGGGACUGAGACACGGCCCAGACUCCUACGGGAGGCAGCAGUAGGGAAUCUUCCACAAUGGACGAAAGUCUGAUGGAGCAACGCCGCGUGAGUGAAGAAGGUUCUCGGAUCGUAAAACUCUGUUGUGAGGGAAGAACAAGUACCGGAGUAACUGCCGGUGCCUUGACGGUACCUCAUUAGAAAGCCACGGCUAACUACGUGCCAGCCGCCGCCGUAA
rnacentral:rRNA from 1 species